rnacentral:rRNA from 1 species
UACAGAGGGUGCGAGCGUUGUUCGGAAUUACUGGGCGUAAAGCGCGCGCAGGCGGCCCUUUAAGUCUACCCGUGAAAUGCCGGAGCUCAACUCCGUGCACGCCGGGGGAUACUGGGGGGCUGGAGACAUGUAGAGGCAAGCGGAAUUCCGGGUGUAGCGGUGGAAUGCGUAGAUAUCUGCAAGAAUACCCGUGGCGAAGGCGGCCAGCUGGGCCGGUUCUGACGCUGAGGUGCGAAAGCGUGGGGAGCAAACAGG